AUCUCGUUGAAAUUCCUUUGAAAUGUGCAGGGACCGUGGCAGAGUCUUUUUUAAUGCAAACAGCUAAUGAUGAUUUGGACGUCAGUGGAGACACUGGCUCUGUGGGGAGGGUCUAUGUAAAUAAUAAUAGCGACAAUCCACUAACUUUAGACCUGAAAGGAUAUAUGCUGGAAGGGAGGAUGCACCCUUGCACUACUUUUCUAGUGGUCCACGUAGGGCCAACCGAAGCAAAGAUCGAAAGUGAAAUUAA